GGUCAUAGCUCGGAAGCAGAGCAUCUGCUUUGAAUGCAGAAGGUCUCAGGUUCAAUCCCCAAUGGUAUCU